rnacentral:rRNA from 1 species
GCUGGGUGGAUCAGUGGCGAACGGGUGAGUAACACGUGAGCAACCUGCCCCUGACUCUGGGAUAAGCGCUGGAAACGGCGUCUAAUACUGGAUACGAGUAGCGACCGCAUGGUCAGUUACUGGAAAGAUUUAUUGGUUGGGGAUGGGCUCGCGGCCUAUCAGCUUGUUGGUGAGGUAAUGGCUCACCAAGGCGUCGACGGGUAGCCGGCCUGAGAGGGUGACCGGCCACACUGGGACUGAGACACGGCCCAUACUCCUACGGGAGGCAGCAGUGGGGAAUAUUGCACAAUGGGCGCAAGCCUGAUGCAUCUACGCCGCGUGAGGGAUGACGGCCUUCGGGUUGUA